AGAGACUAAUUACCUCCAAAAUUCUCUUGAAGAAAUGGAUGGUAAUAGCAGAUUUGAGGAAAAGAAAUCCAAGGUCACCGUGUGGGAAAAGCCAAAAGGUAGCAAGACCGGUGAGAAAGGCUGGUGCAUAGAGCAGGAACAUACCAACUCUACUGGGAACAUGAACCCUAGUUGGUGCAGACUUGGGAUUAAAGAAUUUGGAAUAUUGGAAGUGUAUCCCUCUUGUUUCUAACAACCCAAGGAUUGCCAUUGAUAUUGGAGUAUAACUCCUCCAUAGUCGACUAUGUUUGUGUAAUGUUGACUUUUCCUUACUUUUGACUUGUCAAGGUCGACUAUGCUUGGUCUAAGGUUGACUAGGUUUGUUCAAAACUUGAUUUUUUUGAGCUUUCUAGAACAGGGUUGACUAUGGCUUUAUAAUCUUCAUGUUUUGCACUCUUUUAGCCUUUGGAUUGACUCGAGCUUCUCUAGGAUCGACUCUUGGCUUGUGUCUUAAAGUCUCCUUAGCUUUUCAGUGCUUCUCUCUAGCUAUUUUCUCCUUGCCUUGUUCUUACAACUAAAUAACAUUUCAAGGCAUGUUUGCUCUUGCAUUCUUAGCUGAAUAUGCAUUAUUUGAAAGCUUAUAAAGUGUUUUCUAAUUAUGCAUAGCUUUUCAAACAAAUAUGUAACCUUAGGAGAUUAAAAAUGUAUUUGAGACAAUUUCAAAUGCUUAACAUUAAGUUCAAGAAAACAUGUGAUUUUUACCAAAUCAAAAUAUGAUGUAACUUAAGGCUAACAACAAGGCUUUCAGUUUAUAAAUUUUACCAUUAUUCGCAAUCAAAUUCAAUUCGGGUCGCCUAUAGCACACCUCGAAAUCUUGAUUAACCUUAACAUUGUCUUUUUUCUUCCCUUUAACAUCCAUUAUUUUGUUGAAUAUUUUUCUAAACCCAUUACACUUAGUAUGCAUUACAUCCAAAUUGUGACGAAUGAGAUUCAUAUGCUAAUAUGGUGAGUCCAAAAAAGUACUCUUCUUCACACAAUUAUGAGCUUGAUCGAAACUAGGAAGCUUCUGGUCGCCAACAUUUGUCCGUCAUGUGAUAUUAAGAAUUGAAUCCAACCAUUGCAAGAUCUCUUUACUGGAUAAGCAAGGAAUUGGAGAGUCCCGUUCAACAUGUUUUUUAAAUCUAUCUUUUUGUCGACAAAAAGGAUGAUCAAUGGGCUAAAAUUAUCGAUGACAAUCCCAAAAACAAGGCUUCUUCCCCUACUCCAAAAUGAAACUCUUUCUCAUGUUCCAUACAAUAAGGACAGGAUCAACAUCCAUAACUGCUUCACCUUAGAGAAUAUACAUUAUGUAGGAAAGUCAUCAAUGGUUCAAAGUGUUACUCGAACAACAUAGCACGUGUUUCAAGAUGUUACUUCUCAUAAUUCUAUUUAAUGUUUUUAAUUGGAUGCAUCAUUCAUUUGACUGACAGUGUUAAUUUCAUAUGCAAAUUAACGAAUGGAAAUAAAAUUUGAAUAUUUAAAUAUAAAUUUCCAAAAUUUAAAUAACAAAUCAAGUAUUUGAUUAUAGUUAAGAUACAGUCUAAAAACAAGUUUGGGAGUGUUAAAUAAAACAAAAACCGAGAUAAAGGUGUUUAAUAAGAGAACAAUAUUUAAGGGAUUUCUUUGGUACAAACAAGUUCGAAUCUCCUUUGCAUAACAUUGUGAUGGACCAAUUUCUGUUUGAGCCUUCAUUAAUAUAUCUAGAAGACAUAUGGAAUAAGGGCCUUGACCUGUUUUGGAAAAUCUUCAAAUUUAGAGAGGUACCAUCUCCUGGAGACAUAACUCCUACAUGUCAAGUACAUAGCAGAGCCUAGACUGACAGAAAAAGAAUAUAACGUCUGAGAAAUUAAGCUCAUUCCCAAGAAGCCUAAGAUCUCAAAAAGAUAGUGAGGGCAAAUCACCAACUCAAAUAAACCACCUCUGGGGAUCUUGUAAUCUUUGGAGCCCUUUGCCCUUAGUUUGGAGAGAAGGUAAUGAUGGUAGAAAUUACCACUUAUUCCUAUUAAGAAUAACACAAUUCCAGGAUACUUCAAAUCAAUCGAUGGCUCUGCAAGUCCCUGUGUGAGUUGUUGUGCGUAAAUCAUGAUCGAACUGAGUGUAAAGUAAGUACCAAGUAUAACUAUCGUUGACUCAAGACCCAUCACUCCACUGUAUUUGUGAACGAAAAGCACCUGCAAUAUAUAGUUCAACUAUUAUAUUAUUCCAUUAUUUAUAUUCUAACACAACCCUCAGAUAAAAGCCAUCGGAUUGCACGUGAACAAGUAUAGAAGAAUAGUGCAAGUUGACCAAAAAAACCAUUAAAGAAAAAUAUAUUGUUUCAAUCAUUGAAAGAAAGUUUGAAAUUUUUUACUCUCGAUUAAAUCUCAUCAUACAUGAUUUUUUUUUUAAUUUCAUCAUAUAUGAUUUUAAUCUAAUUUUAAGUUGGUAUUAUUUGAUUUGUUUAUUGAAUAUUUCUUUGAUGAUGUAUUAUUACAUAAUAUUUAUUAAUAGUUAUUUGAUUAUAAUUAUAAUUUUAGCUUUCACAUAGAAUGGGUAAGAAAACACUAGAGAAAAAAAAGAACUCAUAUAUCUAAAAUUUGAUAACAUAUUAAAUUAAGUGGUUGAUUGCACCUGAACAUUUAGUUUAUUAAUUGAUAUACGAUCCUCGAUCUAAAAAGUAAGAUUCGAAUUCUCCUUCUCCAAUUUAAAAAAAAAAUAAUUGAUUAUCUUAAAUAUUUAAGCGAAUUAUAUUAAGUAACUUUGUAAUAAAACUCAAUAUUUCAAAAUUAAUUACCAUAUUAAAUUGAGUGAGAGGAAAGAUCCAUCUAUUAUAUAUAGGAAGAAUAGCUAUUUUUGGAGGGCAAAACAUGAACUUAAAAUCAGGUAAUAUGCAGUGUGUCGAGAGCGUAGGAUGGGAACAGUGUAAGAGAAAGAGAGACUAAUUACCUCCAAAAUUCUCUUGAAGAAAUGGAUGGUCAUAGCAGAUUUGAGGAAAAGAAAUCUAAGGUCCCCAUGUGGGAAAAGCCAAAAGGAAGCAAGACCGGCGAGGAAGGCUGGAGCGUAGAUCAGGAACAUACCAACUCGACUGGGAACAUUCAUCCUAGUUGUAUUGGAGAAUUUGGAAUACUGCAAGUGUAUCCCUCCGGUUUCUAACAACCCAAGGAUUGCCAUCAAUAUUAGAGUAAAUACUGAUGCUGCAGUAUGGAGCAAAGUAGGUGGAAAAACAAUUUGCAGCAACAUGGUCAUAGCUCAGCUUCUCUCCUCAAACUCCCUUUCCUUUUUCCUAACAAUCUGAUGAGCUAAAGACAUAUAUAUUUCAGCUAUUGUUAUGUGUGAAAGUGGAAGGCUAAAUCUGAAUGGGGGACCUCAUGCUAGCUGUCCACGUUGCUGAAAACAGACAAGAAUAUUGAAUAUCUUAUAAUAUUUAUAUAUGAAGAUUUGGCUCAUAGAUUAAUGAAUAAUCUCUCAAAAAAAAUACUUCGAAUCUCUUUCUCUAAAUAAAAAACAAUAUCUUACACUGUUUUUAUUGUAAAGUAUUUGAUCCACCCAACAACAUAAUUAAAUGUGAGCCCACAAUUAUUAAAUUUUUAGGCAUUCUUAGCUGGUUAUGCAUAUCUUGAAGUCUUAACCUUUUUUUUUUAAUUUUUAAACUCAAUUAAUGUAUGAAGGUACUGAUUAAAGUUGUAUAAGGAAAUAUAGUUUUAAGAAAUAAUAUUUUAGGAGAAUGUUAAUUGAUAUUUAUUGUCGCGACUAGUAAUAUUUUUGCAAAAUGUUUUGUAAUCAAAGUAUUGAUUACUAUUUUGGUAAAAAAAUAACGGUUAAAUAAUUAUCAUAUAUCUAUUUUAUAAUUAAUGUAUUUAUUAAUUUAUAAUAAUGCAUCCUAAUGAGACGUGUGUUAACUCUAUAAUUUCGUUUGUAAAGUUUAAAAUUCCUGUCCUCUAAUGUAUAGUUAAUUUUCCCUAAAAUAGUAUCUCUUCUUGAUUUUACAGAGAAUAGUGCCUUACAAGAAAAAAAAAAAACCUUUUCUAAAAUAGUAUAUUAACUAUAAUUAAUCCUACAUGUGAAAUCAAAGAAAAAAUUGGAGCGUUGAUAUAUAUAUAUUAUAUAAUAUAUNNNNNAUUUUCAUUUAUAUAUAUAUAUGUAUAAGAUAUUCUAAGUGGAAUACAGGAAGUAUUUUAAUUCAAACACUUUAAUAUUUUUGCCACACGAACAAACAUUCAAAGUAGCUAGAAUGUCAUUUUCUAAACCUUAUGAAAGUUCGAAAGUGACUAGGGUAAAAUAUCUCCACCCUUUAAGUUUUAGUCGAAAUUUUAAACGGAUUCAUUAAUUUUCAAAAUAGACACUUCAUCACAAAAAAAUAUCUUCUACGCCACUGGGCAUAUCAAUCUGAUUAUACAUAGCUAUACAGCUCCCCUUCUUCCCUCAAAUUCCCUUUCCCCAACAGUUUUUCCUUUGCCUAUCAAUCUGAUUAGCUGAAGAUAUAUUCUCAGCUAUAUUUAUACACAUCUGCGAUCGUAUAUGUAUGGCACGUUAAUGUUACGUGUGAAAAUGGAAGGCUUAAUCUGAAUGGGGGACUUCAUGCAGUCAUGCUAGCUGUUCCCAUGGCUGAAAACAGACGAGAUUGAACAUAAUGUAGUAAAG
rnacentral:lncRNA from 1 species